CACUUCUAAGGAAGGCAGCAGGCGCGCAAAUUACCCAAUCCUGACUCAGGGAGGUAGUGACAAGAAAUAACAAUAAACCGGCUUAUGCCGGUUUAAUUGGAAUGAGUACAAUUUAAACAUCUUAACGAGGAACAAUUGGAGGGCAAGUCUGGUGCCAGCAGCCGCGGUAAUUCCAGCUCCAAUAGCGUAUACUAAAGUUGUUGCAGUUAAAAAGCUCGUAGUUGGAUUUCUGUGGGGACGGAGCGGCCGGCCGCACAUCGCGGUUCGAGCUAGCGCUUUCCCUACAUCCUGCCGCGAACCGUGCUACCAUUAGUUUGGUAGCGCUGGGGAUCGGCUCGAUUACUUUGAGAAAAAUAGAGUGUUCAAAGCAGGCCACAUGCCUUGAAUAAGUUAGCAUGGAAUAAUAACUAAGGACUUCGGUUCUAUUUUGUUGGUGUUCGGGACUGAAGUAAUGAUUGAUAGGGACAGUUGGGGCGGUCUGUAUUCCAAAGCGAGAGGUGAAAUUCUUAGACCUUCGGAAGACAAACAGCUGCGAAAGCGUUCCGCAAGGAUGUUCCCUUUGAUCAAGAACGAAAGUUGGGGGAUCGAAGACGAUCAGAUACCGUCGUAGUCUCAACUAUAAACUAUACCAGCUAGGGAUCGGCCAACGUUAUUUAAACCGACUUGGUCGGCACCUUAUGAGAAAUCAAAGCAUCUGGGUUCCGGGGGGAGUAUGGUCGCAAGGCUGAAACUUAAAGGAAUUGACGGAAGGGCACCACCAGCCGUGGAGCCUGUGGCUUAAUUUGACUCAACACGGGAAAACUUACCAGGUCCAGACAUAGUAAGGAUUGACAGAUUGAUAGCUCUUUCUUGAUUCUGUGGGUGGUGGUGCAUGGCCGUUCUUAGUUGGUGGAGUGAUUUGUCUGGUUAAUUCCGUUAACGAACGAGACCCCAGCCUGCUAAAUAGCGCGUGUGAGCUUUGCUCGCAGCGAGCUUCUUAGAGGGACUAUGAUGCGCGAUAGCACAUGGAAGUUUGGGGCAAUAACAGGUCUGUGAUGCCCUUAGAUGUUCUGGGCCGCACACGGGCUACACUGGCGCCUGCAACGAGCAUAUCAGCUGGCCCGAGAGGGUCUUGGCUAAUCUUUUGAACCGGCGCCGUGCUUGGGAUUGACCUUUGCAAUUGUUGGUCAUGCAACGAGGAAUGCCUUGUAAACGCGAGUCAUCAGCUCGCAUUGAAUACGUCCCUGCCCUUUGUACACACCGCCCGUCGCUCCUACCGAUGAAUGUUCCGAUGAAAUUUUCGGAGAGUGCCUGUGAACUUGGCUCUGCCUUGCGAACGGGAAGCUCAAAGUCACUUAAAUCUGAACAUUUCG
rnacentral:rRNA from 1 species